rnacentral:sRNA from 1 species
AGGCUAUAUGCAGAACUGAAACUGCGUAAGUGAUGGUGUUUUCAUAGAAGCAUUAGGUCGCAUCUGAUGUAGCAAUAGAUGAAUGAGUGGAUACACAGAAGAUUAAGUUCUUCGCUGUAAUUUAUUGCUUGCAGACUCAUAGGGUAAACAAAUUCAGGCAAACGCUGUUGGUAAUGCGACUAUCAUCAGCGUUU